rnacentral:rRNA from 1 species
GACGAACGCUGGCGGCGUGCUUAACACAUGCAAGUCGAGCGGUAAGGCCCUUUCGGGGGUACACGAGCGGCGAACGGGUGAGUAACACGUGGGUGACCUGCCCUCAGCUCUGGGAUAAGCCUGGGAAACCGGGUCUAAUACCGGAUAUGACUCCAUGACGCAUGUUGUGGGGUGGAAAGCCUUGUGCGGCUGAGGAUGGGCCCGCGGCCUAUCAGCUUGUUGGUGGGGUGANGGCCUACCAAGGCGACGACGGGUAGCCGGCCUGAGAGGGCGACCGGCCACACUGGGACUGAGACACGGCCCAGACCCCUACGGGAGGCAGCAGUGGGGAAUCUUG